rnacentral:tRNA from 1 species
GGCCUCGUAGCUCAGCUGGUAGAGCAUGCGCGUACAAAGUCUAGGCGGCGUCCAUUCGUGGGUUCGAAUCCCACCGAGGCUA